CAGAAAGUAGUUUAGUUAAAAUAUUAAUUUUGGAGAUUAAUGAAAUAAAUUUGGGUUAUUUUUCUGAU
rnacentral:tRNA from 1 species